UACGUAGGGUGCAAGCGUUAAUCGGAAUUACUGGGCGUAAAGCGUGCGCAGGCGGUUGUGCAAGACAGAUGUGAAAUCCCCCGGGCUCAACCUGGGAAUUGCAUUUGUGACUGCACGGCUAGAGUGUGUCAGAGGGGGGGUAGAAUUCCACGUGUAGCAGUGAAAUGCGUAGAGAUGUGGAGGAAUACCGAUGGCGAAGGCAGCCUCCUGGGCCAACACUGACGCUCAUGCACGAAAGCGUGGGGAGCAAACAGG
rnacentral:rRNA from 1 species